AAUAGAUGUCAUUCCUACUUUUGUAUCAAUCUUCCUGUUGGAUGCUGCACACUACAGAUAAAGUAGUUCUGAUAGUCAUUCUUUCUGCUCCACGCAAGAGGACCAAGGGUGUCUUAUAUUUAUGCUUUUACUGCCAAGUGGAGCUUUGGUCCCUGAGAACCACUCACCAGGAGAUGCCCAUCAAUGUUGGUACCAAGUAUUGAAGACACUAACCAGGACUGAACACGGUACUCCCUAAGUUGAAUCUUACAAGAGUUCUGGGUCUUUGAGGCUGUCUUUCUACAGCCUCAACUUAAAAUCCUGAAGGUUAGGAGUGCCAAAAGCUUGAAAGCUCUAGAAACCAGGAGCUGCAUUCAAGGGAUAGAAGAGAGCAUGAAGAAUCUGAUGGAACUUCCUUCCUCCUUUCACUAAGGCAAGAUACAUAAUGGCUUAGGUGGAAAUGUGGGGCUUAUAAUUACAAAAAAUCUUUACCUCAUCACCAUAGAAAUCCUCUUAUCUGAUACCAUCAAAACUGCUAACAAGGUGGG
rnacentral:lncRNA from 1 species